rnacentral:tRNA from 1 species
GGGGAUUUAGCUCAGUGGCAUAAGCGCCUGCCUUGCAAGCAGGUGGUCAUGAUCCCUG